GCCCUAGUAGCUUAGUUCCCAAAGCACCGGUUUUGUAACCCGGAGAUCGGAGGUUAAAACCCUCCCUAGUGCC
rnacentral:tRNA from 2 species